rnacentral:lncRNA from 1 species
CGCAUUGACAGCCUCUCAGCCCAGCUCAGCCAGCUCCAGAAGCAGUUGGCAGCCAAGGAGGCCAAGCUGCGUGACCUGGAGGACUCCCUGGCCCGUGAGCGGGAUACCAGCCGGCGCCUGCUGGCUGAAAAAGAGCGGGAGAUGGCUGAGAUGCGGGCAAGGAUGCAGCAGCAGCUGGAUGAGUACCAGGAAUUGCUGGACAUCAAGCUGGCCCUGGACAUGGAGAUCCAUGCCUACCGAAAGCUGCUGGAGGGCGAGGAGGAGAGGCUACGCCUGUCCCCCAGCCCUACCUCGCAGCGCAGCCGUGGCCGCGCCUCCUCCCACUCCUCCCAGUCUCAGGGUGGAGGCAGCGUCACCAAAAAGCGCAAGCUGGAGUCUUCUGAGAGCCGGAGCAGCUUCUCGCAGCAUGCUCGCACUAGCGGCCGUGUGGCCGUAGAGGAAGUAGAUGAAGAGGGCAAGUUCGUGCGGCUGCGCAACAAGUCCAACGAGGACCAGUCCAUGGGCAACUGGCAGAUCAGGCGUCAGAAUGGUGAUGAUCCUUUGAUGACUUAUCGCUUCCCACCGAAGUUCACCCUAAAGGCCGGGCAGGUGGUGACGAUCUGGGCUUCAGGAGCUGGGGCCACCCAUAGCCCCCCUACUGACUUGGUGUGGAAGGCACAGAACACUUGGGGCUGUGGGAGCAGCCUUCGCACGGCUCUCAUCAACGCCACUGGAGAAGAAGUGGCCAUGCGCAAGCUGGUGCGCUCACUGACCAUGGUUGAGGACAAUGACGAUGAGGAAGAGGAUGGAGAUGAGCUGCUCCAUCACCAUCGUGUGAGUGGCAGCCGCCGCUGAGGCCCAGCCCACAAGGGUAGCCCUGGCAGCCUAGGGCAGCUCUCCCGCCUCCAUGCCAAAGUCUUUUCAUUAAAGUGUUUUGGAAUGCCACUUGCUGCCCUCGCCUUUCUUCUCUCUCCUCCCUCUACCUUGAACAGGGAGCCCAGGUGUCUGGUAAGGAAGGGAGUGGGGACUUUCUGAUGCCACAGACUCUUCCAUGGUGGCAGUGGACAGGAUCUGGAUUUGUCUCCUGGGAAGGGAUGGGAGGACAGAGAUGGCCCCAGCCCUGCCUCUCUUCCCCACCCACUCCCUUUGCAUGCACGCUUUUCUGCUCCUCUCUGUCCUAUUGCAUGCUUCUCCUCAGAUUCCCCUGCAGCAAUGUUUUCUCUCAUUUCUGUCCCUCCACAAAUUAAGUUUCUCCAUCUUCAGCCUCCCUCCUGAUUGAUUGCCCCUUAAGUGUCUAGGAUUCAGGAGAGAGUUAAAACCACAGCUCUUCAUUUUGAAGGCUUCCUGGCCAUUUCCCCAUCAUGCCCUUCCUCC